CCUACGGGCGGCAGCAGUAGGGAAUCUUUCACAAUGGGCGAAAGCCUGAUGGAGCAACGCCGCGUGCAGGAUGAAGGCCUUCGGGUUGUAAACUGCUUUUAUAAGCGAGAAAUAUGAUGGUAACUUAUGAAUAAGGAUCGGCUAACUACGUGCCAGCAGCCGCGGUCAUACGUAGGAUCCGAGCAUUAUCCGGAGUGACUGGGUGUAAAGAGUUGCGUAGGUGGCAUAAUAAGUAGCUAGUGAAAUCUGGUGGCUCAACCAUUCAGACUAUUAGCUAAACUGUUAAGCUCGAGACCGUUAGGGGUAACUGGAAUUUCUAGUGUAGGAGUGAAAUCCGUAGAUAUUAGAAGGAACACCAAUAGCGUAGGCAGGUUGCUGGGACGGUUCUGACACUAAGGCACGAAAGCGUAGGGAGCAAAUGGGAUUAGAUACCCCAGUAGUC
rnacentral:rRNA from 1 species